AACGAACGUUAGCGGCGCGCCUAACACAUGCAAGUCGCGCGAGAAAGGGCUUCGGGCCCCAGUAAAGCGGCGCACGGGUGAGUAACACGUAGGUCAUCUUCCCCUGAGUGGUGGAUAACUCUCCGAAAGGAGAGCUAAUACAGCAUAAGACCACGACCUCGCCGAGGUUGUGGCCAAAGCAGACCUCUUCAUGAAAGUUUGCGCUUAGGGAUGAGCCUGCGGCCCAUCAGCUAGUUGGUAGGGUAAUGGCCUACCGAGGCUAAGACGGGUAGCUGGUCUGAGAGGAUGAACAGCCACACUGGAACUGAGACACGGUCCAGACUCCUACGGGAGGCAGCAGUGGGGAAUCUUGCGCAAUGGGCGAAAGCCUGACGCAGCGACGCCGCGUGAGCGAUGAAGGCCUU
rnacentral:rRNA from 1 species